GGUGCACACCAUACAAUGCAAAAAGUUAUCAGAGACAAAUAACGGCAAGUGGGGUUAGAGCGCUGUAUAGGGCCAUCAACGGCGGUCGUAGUGAAAAUGGCUCUUAGUGGGCAGGAAAAAGUUAACUAGAAAAGAAGCAAAUGUCUGUCCUCCUCUGACUUCCUUUCUCCCUCCAAAGCAUUAUUUCCCUGGAGCUCUGGGCUCUCUCCCUGUGUUUGCAUUAUGUUUCAGUUGGCUUGUCUUGGCCUCAGGGUGAGGUCUGAGAGGGGCACAGGAGGGCCUCAAGCACUGAGUCCUGUUUCGGGGGGCUGUAUGCUGUGCUCUCUGCAAGGACUUGGGGCUGGUGUAAGGAGGAGCCCCCAGGCCACAGCACUCUGCAAAUCAUUCUCAAAUAACUUGUAGGGAAAACCUAGGAUUGGCAAAAGGCGAGUUGAGAAAGGACCUUGUCGCCAAAAUACUGCAUCACCCAUAAAUAUCCUCUCUUACCCUCUCAAUCUAUUAGCAAAAGAGAAAUGACAGAUCAAGCUUUGAAAAGAAUCAGAUGGGUCUUUCUGGGACACCUGCAAAUGACUAACUCCAUCGGAGGGAUGUAGAAGCUUCUCUGCCAGUGGUGUGAACCUGCUGCUGCUGUUAGGCAGGAGGGGCACAGGGAAGGUCAGUGGCUGUGCCCCCACGGCUGAGAAAUGGUUGCCUCGGAGAAAUUACUGGGAAGUGUAACAAGAUCGACCUUAUCCCUGAGGAAUCACCUACUUGAUUUGACAGGAGCCCUCCUCACUAACUCAGCAUGGCAGAUGCUCCAGUCCCCUUUCAGGAAGGAAGGAUUUAUUUCCCUAGCUGCAGGAAACUCUGACAGGAAAGAGCCCUUGGCUAUAACCCUUAAUUGAAAGAAAUCAAUUUGGCCAAGGUCACAUCUUCCAUAGGCAGUUCCCAUCCAAAGACUGAUGUAGCGUAUGAAGACCUGAGCCCCCUUGUCCCAAAUCAAGAGAGCUCUGAAGGGUCAUUCCCACAUCAAAACUCCCUGUAGGGUUGGCUGAGCCCUCUACUGACACCGUAAUUGCAGCUUAACUUUCCCACCCCUUCACCUUCCUCCCUUCCUGUGGGUCCCAAGGAGACUUCCUGGUAAGCCUCCUGCACCUUAACCUCUCCAACUCUGUUCCUUCUCAUCUUAAGUCCACUAAAGGUGGGUAGACACAAUUUUCUGAGUAUCUUAUUUGGUGCCCAGCUCUCAAUCAGGUGCAUUACAUAUGUUCACUUAGUCCACACAACUCCUGAAAGAGGUAGGUUAUUCUUCGAUAAAGUAAUGAAGGCCUACUGAGACUCAAGCUUCUACAGCGGAGCAGGACUGCGUCAGUGGCACAGCUGGAAUUCACACCUUCAUCCACUUGGCCCUCAAGCCCACUCUCCUUCCAGUGGCAGUACUGUAGUCAAAACUAAGUAGUAAUAUAUUUGGGGAGUUCAGAAUAUUAGCCUUAGUCAUAUACCAACUAUGAGCCCACUGGUUCGCCAACUUUCUUUAGAGACUCUGAGGUAGGAGAGGACACUGAAGGAGAGGGCUUUGGUCAGGAGAAAGGCGGGGGAUGACCACCUACACUGGUGGAGUCCUCAAAUGUUAGAGUGAUCAGAAAGCUUCAAGACCCUGGAGAGUCUGGUGCUACGUACACAGACAGGGAGAAUGAGGCCCAGGCUGAAAAGUCAGUCUGACUCCCUCUUUCUGCUUCAGCUGCCUACUCCUUCCUGAGCUGACCUGGGACCAGAAUUCCUAACAGAGCCCAGGCUGCUCCCUUGGGCACUCACCUGCUUGCUAACCUGUGACCAUGUUCACCUGGGCUGCUCCAUAUUCCAGGCCUUGCCCUCUUCCUGCUGGCCUAGGGCUGCCUGCCUGCGGUGCUGGUUGCCUGUCCUCCUGUCUCUGAACUGGUUUGACAGUUGAGGUGAGGCUGGGGGUGGAGAGGAUUGUGGGACAUCUACUCCCAGACUGUGCCUCCAUCUGCAGCACCAAGUCCAGGAAGCACUUACUCAUAAACAUGGAUUGCUCCUCAAGGGUGGGGAAGAAGCCACUGAAGCCACGAGCAUCUAUCCCUCCCUGCUUGUCAGUCUGACCUGCCACACCUGGUGGGGGGGAGGGGGCAGCUGAAUGCAUGCGGAGAGCCUCCUCCUCCAUCUCCGCCUAACCCUCCUCAACGCAAAUCCAUAGCUCUUCCAGGAGAGGUCUUCCACAUUCUCAAGAGAUCAUCUCCCUACUCUGCAGUUCCCAUCCCUGACUCCUCCGCUUCCCCAGCCCACCUAGCUCAAAUCAAAGCCUUUCAGGACCGUCUGGCCUCGGGGUGUCCUCAGGGUGGUGGCCACAGCAUACAGGCCCCUUCUUCAACCCUAGUAUGUUUUCUUCUGAGUCUUGGUGAGUCAGCACCACAGGGCCACACACAAGGCUCCUAUUCAGGGCUCAUUUUCCUUCUGCUCUAACUCAGAUCUUGGCAUUGCUCUCUCUCUCUUCUCUAUGUGAGCCUUAUUCUCACCAUGGGAAAGCUCUGCUCCCUGCCCUGUGCCUCCUGGGUUUCCCCCAAUACCCCACCCCCACUCAUGCCCACAUUCCUCAUCCUUACCUUCUGAGAGUUUGCAGUCCCCUCUGGAUACAAACAUAAAGGAAGCAGAACAAAACUAGAAAUGUUAAACUACUGAAUUUCUCAUUUUCAAUGUGUAUUUGUUGUUGCUGGCUCUGUGCAGCCCCUAGGCUAUAUUGACCAUGCACACACACACAUUUGCUGUGCCUGUCACUUAUUCAACAUGUGUUUAUUAAGCACUGAGUCUGUGUGAAGCUUCAUGCUAAAGGCUGGAAUUUUCACUCUGAUGGGGGAACAAGCCUUGCAUAUGUGACAUCUUGGGGCAGUGCUGGGCAUGAUGCAGCAGGUGCCCCAAAUGGGGGAAAUGGGGCCCCAAGUGCCUAAGAAGUUCAGCAGAGCAGGGAAAUCGUGUGGCUCAAGAGACACUGGAUUUAAGUACAGAGAGGGAGGAAGGAUACUGGUUUGUGUUGAGAGUCGAUGUAUAUGUGGGACAUGGUGAUGCAAAAGUAGAAGCAAGAAAAGUCGUUCAAAACAAGGACUUUGCCAUUCUCUGCGUAACCUGGGGCAAAUCAACCUUGCUAGCCUUCAUUUCAGCAUCUGCAAUGAAGAUAGGAGACCCUCCCUCUUACGAUUUUGUGAGAAUUAAAUGAGAUAAAACAGGCAAGUGCCUGGUACUUGGUGAGUAGUCGGCGGCGGAUUAUUUGCAGCCUUUGUGGAAUGGAGCAGUGGGCGGGCGAAAAGAGUCUGGCCUGAGGGAAGCGCGUCUAGAAGCGAAGCUGGUGAGGCUGCCGCGGGCCGCCCCGCCCUUCGUCGGAAAACUGAAUUGCUGGCGCCCCCUGGUGUUUCGGUCACUGUGAUUCUCUGCACCGAGGUCCAGCGCACACCCACCUCCCCGGGGAAAGGUCGGUCAGCGGUCUGGAAGAGACCCGCUUCGCAGCAGCGGGCAGGGAUGCGUCCCCUCCCCAGGUCCCCUCCCCUGAUGGGUAGGCAGAGCCACAGUCCCUGCCUUAGGGAUGGAAGUCCAAACUAGUAGACGGGGAGGAAUAACAAACAGAAACCACCUCACAGGGUUGUUUUGAGUCUUAACUGAGCAAAUCUAAGACUCCAAACUAGUCAGGGCAUGAGUAAGCACCCAGCAAGUGAUAGCUACUAGGAGCUAUUAGGGAGCUCCUAGAACGUACCCAACAAAUGGUAGGUGAUCCAUAACUAUUUGUUACACAGGAGUCUAUCAACAUUUAUUUAUUCAUUCGUCCACUUAAUUAUGCUCCAAAAAUAUCUUGCUCCUCCUAUACUGUUGAUGCUCCUUUAAAGAAAAAAGAUUUGGAGUUCCCUGGUGACACAGUGGUUAAGGAUCUGACAUUGUCACUGCUGUGGUGCAGUUAAACUUCUAUGUCCUGCUGUUUAUCACUGGAAACUAUAUCUAGUCACUUGUGAUGGAGCUUGAUGGAGGAUAAUGUGAUAAGAAGAAUGUGUAUGUGUGUGUAUUACUGGGUCGCUUUGCUGUACAGUAGAAAACUGACAGAACACUGUAAACCAACUAUAAUGGGGAAAAAAACCAUUAAAAGAAAAAAAAAAACUUCCACGUGCCUCAGGCACAGCGAACAAAACACAACAACCCUUAGUAAACCAAGUAAGUGAGCAAGAGCCAGCACUCUGGGAGGAAAACAAGGAGAUGUCAGCCAUUCAAACAUCCAUCCAAUAGCUCCUACCAGGUGCCACUCACUGGAGGCAGUUAAGGGCUUUAGGGGCCGUAAGUGCUGGUAGGAGAGCCUGUAGCAAACACGGUAUUAUGUGAACUAUAAGAAAAGCAGGAGGCUGCUCCCAAGCCUUUUGAGACCACCCACACUCUGUCUAUGGAACGCGUAUUUCCCAGGGCCUCUCACCUUCAGAGAUGGCGCACGCUCCGCCUAUGGAGGGUGUGUCUUUCAAUAAACCUAUUUCUUACCUAGAACUUUGCCUCCCGUCGAAUUCCUCCUGCAUAAAGAACCUGAGCUUCAGUAAGUCCUGACACCAGUUUCACUUCUUCAAAUAAUGCCGCAUGCAGAGACCUUAGCCCUGGUCCUUCCCACCAGAGUCCCAGUGUGGAAGAGCCGUGCUGACAUCAGCAGACUCCUGGCGCCCACUGCGAUUCAAGAUGGCGGCAGCGGGCCGUGCGCAGAGACGCUGCGCCCGGCUCGUCCACCUGCAGCAGUGCCGGGGGCAGCACCGCUCUGCCAGACUCGCGAGAACUCCGCCGGGCCGGCUGACAAGCUCCUAAGAGUUCCCUUCCUGGCUCAGCGGUUAAGAUCGGACUAGGAUCCGUGAGGGUUUGAUCCCUUGCCUGUGAGCUGUGGUGUCGCUCACAGCCACGUGUCUCAGAUGCAGCAUUGCUGUGGCUGUGGUGUAGGCCGGCAGCUACAGCUCUGAUUCGACCCCUAGCCUGGGAACUUC
rnacentral:lncRNA from 1 species